rnacentral:rRNA from 1 species
ACCCGCUGAACUUAAGCAUAUCAAUAAGCGGAGGAAAAGAAACCAACAGGGAUUGCCCUAGUAACGGCGAGUGAAGCGGCAACAGCUCAAAUUUGAAAUCUGGCUUCGGCCCGAGUUGUAAUUUGCAGAGGAUGUUUCUGGCGCGGUGCCUUCCGAGUUCCCUGGAACGGGACGCCACAGAGGGUGAGAGCCCCGUAUGGUUGGACACUAAGCCUGUGUGAAACUCCUUCGACGAGUCGAGUAGUUUGGGAAUGCUGCUCAAAAUGGGAGGUAAAUCUCUUCUAAAGCUAAAUACUGGCCAGAGACCGAUAGCGCACAAGUAGAGUGAUCGAAAGAUGAAAAGCACCUUGAAAAGGGGGUUAAACAGUACGUGAAAUUGUUGAAAGGGAAGCGCUUGUGACCAGACUUGUGCCGGGCGGUUCAUCCGGGGUUCUCCCCGGUGCACUCCGCCCGGUUCAGGCCAGCAUCGGUUUUUGCUGGGGGAUAAGAACGGUAGGAACGUGGCCCUCCCUCGGGAGGGUGUUAUAGCCUGCCGUACGAUACCCUGGCGGGGACCGAGGUUCGCGCUCCGCAAGGAUGCUGGCGUAAUGGUCAUCAGCGACCCGUCUUGAAACACGG